CCAGGAGCCCCGCCUGAUUCCCCAGCCAGCUGUGCCAGGGUUAGCCCUGCCUGGCCUUUCCAAAACUGUGCUGCUGAUCAGAAAUGGGACAGAAACCCAUCAGUAUUCCUGGGGGCUCUUCCUCCACUCUUGCCCUUACAGGGGGAAAACAGGUGAGAGAGCCAUGUGCCCAGCAUAUCAUUAAUAAAUACCCCUUAAAAAGACCUUUAAUCAUUUCCCUUUUUUUUUCUCCAAGUGAAGCUCAUUAUAUAAAAGUCAGAAACUACUGAUGAGCCUACAUAUGUGUAUAUAUGUAUAUACUAUGAUUAUGGUAUGAUCAUUUUAUAUAUAUAUGUAUAUAUAUGGUAUGCUUAUAUAAUCAUAUUUUGACUGUCUAGAAAAUAAUGAACACCUCCACAGCAUUAUACUUAUUAUCUGUAUUUAUAUAAAUAUUAAUGAUAUUUACUAUUAUUAUAUUUUUAACCCAGAAAAGCCAUUCCGUAAAUACUUUUUUGUCACUUAAGUUUUGUUGGGAGCAUCUUUCACUGUCAACACAAUAUAUUUCAUUUUACUUGAUUUCACGUAUUUAAUUAUUAAAUUUAAUAAAUUUAAUUUACUGUAUCCCACCAUAUAGAAUAUACUACAUCACCUCAGUAAAUCACCUUCUAGUGGACAUUUCAGGUGGGAUUUUGUUUUGUUAUUUUGUUUACUGUUGCUAUUCUAAGCACUACCUCAAUGCUGGUUUUUCUCACUAGAUUUUCUGUACCUCCUUAUUAUGCCUGAAUGAAGAAACUGAGGUUUCUCGGGUUAAAGUGACUGUGAAUUGCUUGUGGUUAUAAAACCAGUGAGUGGCUAAGUCAAGAUUGAUGCCGGCUCCGUGCCUGGCAGAGUGGCAGGUGCAGGGCAGGGCUCCGGAGCCUUCAAAUCCCACCUCUGCAGCUCACCAAAGUGGGGUUUAGGGCAAGUUACUUAACCUCGAGUUCCUCUGCUGCAACGUGGGUCAACACCUAUUGCAGAGGGUAUGGUGAGGACUAAAUGUGCUAAAGUAGAUCAUGUAUUUGGCCCUGACCCUAGCACAUAAUUUUUUAAAAAAAUUAAUUGUAGGGAAAAGAACGGAGUAACAGGAAAUACUGUUAAGGAGGAGGCAACACCACAUGGGCUUAGGACUUUAUUUCAAAACGUUGCUCUGUGGACACUGGGGAAAUGUAUGUAAUAUUUUUAACCCCCAGUUUCCUCAUCAGGGAAACCCAGAAAAUGUUAUCUCCGUUACUACAUCGUGUGAGGAUUAAAUGAAAUAUAUGAAUGUAUAUAGUACUGUCAGCCUUUUAAAAGAAAAAGGUAAGCAAUUCAGCCAGCAAAAUUGAGUUUAUUCGAGAAUAGCAGAGGAGUUGCAAUUGGAGACAAGCAAAAUGUGGCAAACCACCGGCAAGUCUGGAGAACAAAGGAGAGCGUGCUUUUACAGAGGACAGGAGGAAGUGGGAGGGGUUGUUUCGUGCAGCAGUUCAUUGGAGGAAAGUGAGAGUCUGAAGUGGUGGUAGCUUCUCAUUGGCUGCAGGCGAGGGCGGCUCCUGGCCGGCAGCCAACAGGAAAUCUUCCUCUUUCCUGCUGGAGGACGCAAGCUGCCAUGAGUGGUACCUGCAUGAGAGCCCUUCCUUCGUGGUUUCCUCGCUCCUAUUUUGAGUUAGGUUUCCUUAACACGUUUUUCACAGUAUAAACAUCUGGAGAAGCAGAUGUGCUCAGAAAACCAGUGACUCAUUGCAUGGGGCCGCCCUGUGGCAGAACUCAUGGGAGCUGGGACAAGCAAAAAGAAUCUUAGCAUCCACUCCUCCUCUGCCCUCUUUUCCUCCUAAACCUGGCUAAUUUAAUUCAGGUCACCCAGAAGAAAAAAAUGAAAUAAAAAUCGGAAAAGAUGGGGCUUCCCUGGUGGCGCACCUGCUGGUGGCGCACCUGCCAAUGUAGGGGACACGGGUUCGUGCCCCGGUCCGGGAGGAUCCCACAUGCCGCGGAGCAGCUGGGCCCGUGAGCCAUGGCCGCUGAGCCUGCGCGUCCGGAGCCUGUGCUCCGCAACGGGAGAGGCCACAACAGUGAGAGGCCCGCGUACCGCAAAAAAAAAAAAAAGAAAAAAGAAAAUCGGAAAAGAACAGAUGAGACUCUUAGCUUGGGCACAUAGUUUGUUGGAUAUGAUCAGCCUCUACUCUCAAAUUAUUUGUGUAAGAAACUCCACAUUUCAAAUGAGGAAUCUAUCCUGGAGAAGAAAUAGAUGCUACAGGAAGCCGGUGUUUGUGCACUGGCUCAACUGGCAGAGUUGUUGCAGAGAUUAUUUGUUCUUUUCUUCCUUUAACAUGAAAGCUCUGGAAAUCUUACAGAAGAUGAACUCAUUCACGAAACAGUCCCACCAGACCAGAGAAUAAGUGCAUGCAGGGGUUAUACCGUCCUCAAGACAGGAGCCAGGAGCUGGAAACCUAGGGCCUGAACUCUCCUCCCAUCAGGUCUGGGGACCUCUGACCAGAGCCCCAACCCAAGGACUCCCAGCCAGACUCACUGGGGGUGAGCUGGUGCCUACAUUAGCUUGGUUUCCCAAAGCCACAGGGAUGUCAGUCUCACUGUUGAUCAAUGGUGUCAGUUUCCCUGCAGGCUGCUGGGAUUUGACACUUCCUUCUCUUGCUCUCUGCUUCUGGGGCACACAGCAGGGUGGCCCCAGUCCCCGUCCCCUGAAAAGGCUUUGGUUGCACAUUCUCUUUAAUUUGGCUCACUCUUUCAGGGCACCAUCCCCCCACCCCGCAAUCUUCCUAGCAACGUUUCUGCUCAAUUCUCUGCACAGCUGGAUAAGAAGAAAAUUUGAGAAGUCCCCUAACAAGUUACACCCCCAAUUGUUCCCCAAAUUUGCCCUCAAGCAGUGCCCCAGACCAAACCUUUGCUCCCUCAGGCUGAAUUUUUUUCCUGCGCAAUAUGGUUUCUUUAUAUGUAAGUUGGUGAUAAUUAAGGUCUUGAUACUGAUAUGUGACUCUAAAAGCACAAGUAGCGAAAUCAGUCAGGUCACUUAAAGAGGAGACAUUCUUUUGAACCAAAAGGGCACUGGUUACAAUGAGCACCUUGCAAGCACACCCUCAGCUUCACUGCCAAGGAAAGGACCAGGCUGUGCUUCUGCUGCAGUCAGGAUGACAGAGGGACUUCAUCCUGGAUCUGGAGACUUUAAUGGUUUCUUCACGUCACUCGGUUUCACAGUUUCAGUGACACAAGGUGGCUUUUGCUCAAUGAGCCUUUGAUCAAUUACUCCUCUACCUUUCUAAGUAUGUGGUACCUUCAUCCCUCUAAUCCCAAGGAAGGGAAGAGGAGGCAAUAGAGUUAGCCACGUGGUGGACUUGAGCCACUGGAAACCCCUGGUGUUGGCUGCUGGCAGUGCAUCUGUGAUGGUGUCACAAACAGCAAGAGACCUCAGGAGGCACCAGGGUUUGGGAGGCUGAGAACCAGCACCAUUUCCUUGGUGAGAGAGGCCUGAACUGGGAACCAUGUAAGUAGAAUGCCACCCUGUACACCUAGGAGAGGAAAGCCAUCUUUGUAGGUGCAGUGGUGGUCAGCAUGGAAAAGGUUACACUGGUCUGCAACAGAUGCCUGGGAGGUCAGGGAUGAGCAUAGUUCCUCAAGUGUUUGUUUGCUGACCAUUAACCUCCCCCGCUCCCCAAAAAAGUCAUUGUGCCUCCCAAAAGACACAUUGGACCCUCAGGCAUAUGAGGCCCCAGCAGAACCAAUCCAAGAAGCCACGAGGGCAUAUGUGUCUGUUGGGGAAUCACAGAGAAGGUAUUGAUUCAAUAUGGACUUUGGGGCCAGGUCCUCCCGGGUUCCAACCCCAGAACCACCGCUCACAAGCCCGGACCGUGGGCGAGUCAUUUAUGUUCUCUGAGCUCCUAUUUCCUCAUUUCUUAAAUGGGAACGAUACAUAGCUCAACAACUCUUUCUUGUGUGUGCAACUGUCACACAUAGGAAUUGCUCUGUGAGUAUGAAAAUCCUUCUGUUUUCCUGCUCAUCAACAGCUUUGGCCAAAAAGCUGAAGCUCAUUUCUCUGAAUUUUCUUUAUUUUCUUAAUAUAUGUUCCUUUGUUUGUUAAAGUUACACAUUUCUUGCCAAAAUUAAAAUGUCAUAGACUAAACAAAAAGGGCUAAAUCUGCCUACAGUUCUAUCCCCUUUGAAUAAUCACCAUUGUUGGGUAAACAUUAUUUCAAUGUCCUCUAUGAAUAUGCUAAUAUAUACUUAUUUUUAUAUGUCCUGUUUCAUUCUCCAUUACACUGUGUGAUAUAUGCCAUGUAUAAGUGGGUCCAUUGCCUAAUCUCCGCCAUGUGUAUGGUAGCUUCCAGAUACCCACACCUAAGGCUUCUUCGUGUUCACUGAGGCUUUUAUUCUUUUUCUUUAAUUUUUUAUUUUAUAUUGGAGUAUAGGUGAUUAACAAUGUUGUGUUAGUUUCAGAUGUACAGCAAAGUGAUUCAGUUUUACAUAUACAUGUAUCUAUUCUUUUUCAUAUUCUUUUCCCAUUUAGGUUUUUACAUAAUAUUGAGCAGAGUUCCCUGUGCUAUACAGUAGGUCCUUGUUGGUUAUCCUUUUCAAAUAUAGCAGGGUGUACAUGUCAAUCCCAAAUUCCCUAACUAUCCCUUCCCUCCACCCUUCCCCCACUGGUAACCAUAAAUUCAUUCUCUAAGUCUGUGAGUCCAUUUCUGUUUUGUAAAUACGUUUAUUUGUAUCAUUUCUUUUUAGAUUCCACAUAAAAGCAAUAUCAUACGAUA